GGUCAAGCUACAAAGGGCGCAUGGUGAAUGCCUUGGCAUCAGGAGCCGAUGAAGGACGCGAUAAGCUGCGAUAAGCUUCGGGUAGACGCACAUAGUCAGAGAUCCGAAGAUUUCCGAAUGAGGAAACUCACAUGGGAAACCCCAUGUAUCAUAAAGUGAAUACAUAGCUUUAUGAAGGUAUACCCAGGGAACUGAAACAUCUAAGUACCUGGAGGAAGAGAAAGAAAAAUCGAUUUUCUUAGUAGCGGCGAGCGAAAAGGAAAGAGCCCAAACCAGAGAUUUAUCUCUGGGGUUGCGGACAGAACAUAACGAGAAAUCAUAGUUAAUUGAACACAACUGGAAAGUUGGACCACAGUGGGUAAUAGUCCCGUAAGUGAAAACUAUGAUAAUCAGUUCUGCACCAGAGUACCACGAGACACGUGAAACCUUGUGGGAAGCAGGGAGGACCACCUCCCAAGGCUAAAUACUACCUGAUGACCGAUAGUGAAGCAGUACCGUGAGGGAAAGGUGAAAAGAACCCCGGGAGGGGAGUGAAAUAGAACCUGAAACCAUGUGCCUACAAUCGAUCAAAGCACCUUAUGUGUGUGAUGAUGUGCUUUUUGUAGAACGAGCCAACGAGUUACGGUAUGUAGCAAGGUUAAGUACUUAAGGUACGGAGCCGAAGGGAAACCGAGUCUUAAUAGGGCGACUAGUUGCAUGCUGUAGACCCGAAACCGGGUGACCUAUCCAUGGCCAGGUUGAAGCGAGGGUAAAACCUCGUGGAGGACCGAACCACGUUGCUGUUGAAAAAGCAUGGGAUGAGCUGUGGAUAGCGGAGAAAUUCCAAUCGAACUCGGAUAUAGCUGGUUCUCCUCGAAAUAGCUUUAGGGCUAGCGUCGGAAAAUGUGAGUAGUGGAGGUAGAGCACUGAAUAGGCUAGGGGCAUAGCGCUUACCGAACCUUAUCAAACUCCGAAUGCCACAUACUAUCAGUCCGGCAGUCAGACUAUGAAAGAUAAGUUCCAUGGUCAAAAGGGAAACAGCCCAGAUCGUCAGCUAAGGUCCCAAAGUGUAAGUUAAGUGAAAAAGGAUGUGGGAUUU
rnacentral:rRNA from 1 species